GACGUAGGGCGCAAGCGUUGUCCGGAUUUAUUGGGCGUAAAGAGCUCGUAGGCGGCUCGUUGCGUCGGCUGUGAAAACCCGCAGCUCAACUGUGGGCUUGCAGCCGAUACGGGCAAACUAGAGUACUGCAGGGGAGACUGGAAUUCCCGGUGUAGUGGUGGAAUGCGUAGAUAUCGGGAGGAACACCAGUGGCGAAGGCGGUUACCUGGAGCUUUGCUGACGCUGAUGCGCGAAAGCGUGGGGAGCGAGUCCGGA
rnacentral:rRNA from 1 species